UGCCAGCAGCCGCGGUAAUACGAAGGGGGCUAGCGUUGUUCGGAAUUACUGGGCGUAAAGAGUACGUGGGCGGCUUUUCAAGUCGGAUGUGAAAGCCCUGAGCUUAACUCAGGAACUGCAUUCGAUACUGGAUCGCUAGAGUAUAUUAGAGGAUAGUGGAAUUUCCAGUGUAGCAGUGAAAUGCGUAGAGAUUGGAAGGAAUAUCGAUGGCGAAGGCAGCUUACUGGGCCAAUACUGACGCUGAGGUGCGAAAGCGUGGGUAGCGAACGGGAUUAGAUA
rnacentral:rRNA from 1 species